rnacentral:rRNA from 1 species
UAGGGAAUCUUCGGCAAUGGGGGCAAACCUGACCGAGCAACGCCGCGUGAGUGAAGAAGGUUUUCGGAUCGUAAAGCUCUGUUGUAAGAGAAGAACGUGUGUGAGAGUGGAAAGUUCACACAGUGACGGUAACUUACCAGAAAGGGACGGCUAACUACGUGCCAGCAGCCGCGGUAAUACGUAGGUCCCGAGCGUUGUCCGGAUUUAUUGGGCGUAAAGCGAGCGCAGGCGGUUUAAUAAGUCUGAAGUUAAAGGCAGUGGCUUAACCAUUGUUCGCUUUGGAAACUGUUAAACUUGAGUGCAGAAGGGGAGAGUGGAAUUCCAUGUGUAGCGGUGAAAUGCGUAGCUAUAUGGAGGAACACCGGUGGCGAAAGCGGCUCUCUGGUCUGUAACUGACGCUGAGGCUCGAAAGCGUGGGGAGCAAACAGG